UGGCGGUCACUGAGCCAGGUUUCAGUGAAGCAGAGCGCAGCAGAACGUGCAAAUGUUUUGUUGGUCUUUGUGAGGAGAAGUUCAUCCAUCUUGUUUGGCAGAGAUCGUAGAUUAGCAAGAUGGAUCGAUGGGAGCGGGGUUCGAAAUCCGCGCUGCCGGAGCUUGACGAGCACGCCGGCUCGCUUCCCCCUCCUCCGGCGGCGUUUCCAUGCUCUUUACAGUGCAGCCGCUCCGCUCGCGAUUAGCUCCGAAAAACCUUGUGGAUUUUCGUGUGCUGGUGAAAAAAGACUGAGCGUAGACUCCCCAAUGCGCAGCAACUUUUCCCUCGUGUAAGUAAGCCGCUCAGGGUCGCCAAAAACAAACGAAAAUGACAAAAACAGGGAUAAUACUAGGGAGCGUGUGACCGAGGCUGCCAUACCUGUCGGCGCCUGAUUAACAUUUUUGUUAA